CAGCCGCCGCGGUAAUACCGGCGGCCCGAGUGGCGGCCACUAUUAUUGGGCUUAAAGCGUCCGUAGCCGGGUUGGUUAGUCUCCCGGGAAAUCUGGCCGCUUAACGGGCAGAAUUCCGGGAGAUACUGCCAGCCUAGGGACCGGGAGAGGCCGAGGGUAUUCCCGGAGUAGGGGUGAAAUCCUAUAAUCCCGGGAGGACCACCUGUGGCGAAGGCGCUCGGCUGGAACGGGUCCGACGGUGAGGGACGAAGGCCAGGGGAGCAAACCGGAUUAGAUACCCGGGUAGUCCUGGCUGUAAACGAUGCGGACUUUGUGUCGGACAAGCUAUGAGCUUGUCCGGUGCCGGAGGGAAACCGUUAAGUCCGCCGCCUGGGGAGUACGGCCGCAAGGCUGAAACUUAAAGGAAUUGGCGGG
rnacentral:rRNA from 1 species